CCGAGUGCGGGACUGGGGCUCCUGGCUGUGGGUGUGGUACUGAGGCUUCAGCGGGUGCCGCCCGCCUAGAGGGAGUGGAGCGGUGAGCACGUCAGGGGUGGGGGGCGCAGGUCAAGCUUUCACCAGUUUUUAAUUCUUUGAUGGGGUAAAUUUGAGCAAUUUUCUCGACUUGUCGACAUUCGUUAUUAACUGAGCAGGAAUCAGGAGAGGAACCCGGUCCUCUCCACACAGCCCAGCAGAGAGCCUACGACUAGAUUUGCAUCUUUACGUCCUGCGCGGAGGCUGCUACACACAUGCAGAAGUCAUGCUGGUGGCCUGGACAGUGAAGGGAGAGAAGUGGAUUUGGGAGACAUUUAGGAGGUAAGAUUGCUAGGACCUUGGUGAUAGCUUGGACAUGGAGGGUGGAGGAGGAGGGGUGUCUAGCAGAUAAUGCUCUUAGGUUACCACCUGGGAUAUUAGGGAGAGUGAGCAGGCUGUUUUUUGUUUGUUAGGCAGAACUUGGUUUUGCGGUGCAGUAGGGUGCCUGGAGCCGAAAGCCUGACUUCCUCAUACAGGCCAGACCCCACAUGUGACUGCCAGGCCACUCUGAGGCUGAGAGAGAUGCUUUUGUCUGGCCUCUGUCCUGCACGUGUUUACGGAUGACCUCUGUGUUGGCAGAUUUGGGGGUCCGCCAGAUAGGAUCCUGUGAAGAGACCUCAAAGGUCUUUAGUCCAAUCUAUAAAACAUUUUUAUGUUGAUUAUAUCAUUUCCACAAUCAAAGAUGAAUAAAAGAUACAGAGGUGUAUUUAGUGAAUCAGGUUGAUGGUGCACCUGCGCUAGGCAGUGUUUUAGUUCGUUGAGACACCAAGGAGUUGAGACAAUCCUUUACCUCAGAGUUUUGUGUCUGUAAGUCCUGCUGUUGAGAGCUGUGUGUGUUAAAAUGUCUGAUUUGGGCAGGUGAGAUCUGGGCCCUCUGUAAGGUUAGGUAACAGGAGGUUGGUGUCCAGCAAAUAUUCAGUGCGCCAUCAACAUCCCAGUUCUUGUCCACCAAUCUUCCAAUUCUAGGACUGAUGCGGAG
rnacentral:lncRNA from 1 species